rnacentral:rRNA from 1 species
AUGAGGAUUGUAAGUUGGAACUGCCAGGGACUCGGGAAUGGCCCGGCAGUUCAUGGCCUCUUGGAUCUCAAGAGGGCGGAGGAUCCCGAUAUGGUGUUCUUAUGUGAAACUAAGUUGUUUGAAAAGGAGAUGGAGCAAUAUCGAUGGAAAAUGGGACUGGUGAACAUGUGUAUUAGGAAUCCGGAGGGGAGGAGCAGGGGGCUUGCAAUCUUGUGGAAGCGGGGAGUGAACCUAUCUUUGAGAUCAAUAGGGAGGCGACAUAUUGAUGCAGAUAUUACGGAAGAGAAUGGGUGGUGUGGAGGUUGA